rnacentral:lncRNA from 1 species
GUUGCUAAAAAUACAUAUUUUAAAGGUGAACUUUUCUUUCCAUUUUAUACAGUGGCUCAACCAAUCACAGCAAAUGUUAACCGUAAAGUACUCAGUCUCACGUAACCCAGACAGCUCAGUGCUCUGUGAAGCAAAAGGAACAAAAUUCCUCAAGUUCAUUGAACUUUCCAGCUGGAGACACAUGCUGCUAACUGAUGUGGAGCAAGAUGAAAGGGGUGGGUGCCAGGAGACAUUUUGUGGUAUGCACCAAGUGCUCAUGCGCCUUUCAAAUCCAGAAAGCUUCAGGAGGCCCCAGCUAGCCCUCAGCACAAAGCUUCCCCAUGAUGACCAUGGCUGCAACCCAAGCUCAGCUGCCCCAUGGCGGUGCUGCUCACAGGAGACAGGGUCCAGCUGUCCGUCACAGCCUGUGAUGCCAAACACGGGGAUCAGCACUGUGAGUAUAUCUGCAAUUUCUCCAUUAGCAGUACGUUCACUACUCUGUGCAGUCUAG